rnacentral:rRNA from 1 species
GGGUUGUGAGGUUAAGCGACUAAGCGUACACGGUGGAUGCCCUGGCAGUCAGAGGCGAUGAAGGACGUGCUAAUCUGCGAUAAGCGUCGGUAAGGUGAUAUGAACCGUUAUAACCGGCGAUUUCCGAAUGGGGAAACCCAGUGUGAUUCGUCACACUAUCAUUAACUGAAUCCAUAGGUUAAUGAGGCGAACCGGGGGAACUGAAACAUCUAAGUACCCCGAGGAAAAGAAAUCAACCGAGAUUCCCCCAGUAGCGGCGAGCGAACGGGGAGCAGCCCAGAGCCUGAAUCAGUGUGUGUGUUAGUGGAAGCGUCUGGAAAGGCGUGCGAUACAGGGUGACAGCCCCGUACACAAAAAUGCACAUGCUGUGAGCUCGAUGAGUAGGGCGGGACACGUGGUAUCCUGUCUGAAUAUGGGGGGACCAUCCUCCAAGGCUAAAUACUCCUGACUGACCGAUAGUGAACCAGUACCGUGAGGGAAAGGCGAAAAGAACCCCGGCGAGGGGAGUGAAAAAGAACCUGAAACCGUGUACGUACAAGCAGUGGGAGCACGCUUAGGCGUGUGACUGCGUACCUUUUGUAUAAUGGGUCAGCGACUUAUAUUCUGUAGCAAGGUUAACCGAAUAGGGGAGCCGAAGGGAAACCGAGUCUUAACUGGGCGUUAAGUUGCAGGGUAUAGACCCGAAACCCGGUGAUCUAGCCAUGGGCAGGUUGAAGGUUGGGUAACACUAACUGGAGGACCGAACCGACUAAUGUUGAAAAAUUAGCGGAUGACUUGUGGCUGGGGGUGAAAGGCCAAUCAAACCGGGAGAUAGCUGGUUCUCCCCGAAAGCUAUUUAGGUAGCGCCUCGUGAAUUCAUCUCCGGGGGUAGAGCACUGUUUCGGCAAGGGGGUCAUCCCGACUUACCAACCCGAUGCAAACUGCGAAUACCGGAGAAUGUUAUCACGGGAGACACACGGCGGGUGCUAACGUCCGUCGUGAAGAGGGAAACAACCCAGACCGCCAGCUAAGGUCCCAAAGUCAUGGUUAAGUGGGAAACGAUGUGGGAAGGCCCAGACAGCCAGGAUGUUGGCUUAGAAGCAGCCAUCAUUUAAAGAAAGCGUAAUAGCUCACUGGUCGAGUCGGCCUGCGCGGAAGAUGUAACGGGGCUAAACCAUGCACCGAAGCUGCGGCAGCGACGCUGAUGCGUUGUUGGGUAGGGGAGCGUUCUGUAAGCCUGCGAAGGUGUGCUGUGAGGCAUGCUGGAGGUAUCAGAAGUGCGAAUGCUGACAUAAGUAACGAUAAAGCGGGUGAAAAGCCCGCUCGCCGGAAGACCAAGGGUUCCUGUCCAACGUUAAUCGGGGCAGGGUGAGUCGACCCCUAAGGCGAGGCCGAAAGGCGUAGUCGAUGGGAAACAGGUUAAUAUUCCUGUACUUGGUGUUACUGCGAAGGGGGGACGGAGAAGGCUAUGUUGGCCGGGCGACGGUUGUCCCGGUUUAAGCGUGUAGGCUGGUUUUCCAGGCAAAUCCGGAAAAUCAAGGCUGAGGCGUGAUGACGAGGCACUACGGUGCUGAAGCAACAAAUGCCCUGCUUCCAGGAAAAGCCUCUAAGCAUCAGGUAACAUCAAAUCGUACCCCAAACCGACACAGGUGGUCAGGUAGAGAAUACCAAGGCGCUUGAGAGAACUCGGGUGAAGGAACUAGGCAAAAUGGUGCCGUAACUUCGGGAGAAGGCACGCUGAUAUGUAGGUGAAGCGACUUGCUCGUGGAGCUGAAAUCAGUCGAAGAUACCAGCUGGCUGCAACUGUUUAUUAAAAACACAGCACUGUGCAAACACGAAAGUGGACGUAUACGGUGUGACGCCUGCCCGGUGCCGGAAGGUUAAUUGAUGGGGUCAGCGCAAGCGAAGCUCUUGAUCGAAGCCCCGGUAAACGGCGGCCGUAACUAUAACGGUCCUAAGGUAGCGAAAUUCCUUGUCGGGUAAGUUCCGACCUGCACGAAUGGCGUAAUGAUGGCCAGGCUGUCUCCACCCGAGACUCAGUGAAAUUGAACUCGCUGUGAAGAUGCAGUGUACCCGCGGCAAGACGGAAAGACCCCGUGAACCUUUACUAUAGCUUGACACUGAACAUUGAGCCUUGAUGUGUAGGAUAGGUGGGAGGCUUUGAAGUGUGGACGCCAGUCUGCAUGGAGCCGACCUUGAAAUACCACCCUUUAAUGUUUGAUGUUCUAACGUGGACCCGUGAUCCGGGUUGCGGACAGUGUCUGGUGGGUAGUUUGACUGGGGCGGUCUCCUCCUAAAGAGUAACGGAGGAGCACGAAGGUUGGCUAAUCCUGGUCGGACAUCAGGAGGUUAGUGCAAUGGCAUAAGCCAGCU